rnacentral:tRNA from 1 species
ACUACUUUGGCAGAGAAGUGCAGUGGAUUUAGAAUCUUCUAAUAUAGUUUUAUUUAUAUGUAGUA